rnacentral:rRNA from 1 species
AGCGAACGCUGGCGGCAGGCUUAACACAUGCAAGUCGAACGGUCCUUCGGGAUAGUGGCGGACGGGUGAAUAACACGUGGGAACGUACCCUUAGGUUCGGAACAACACAGGGAAACUUGUGCUAAUACCGGAUGAGCCCUUCGGGGGAAAGAUUUAUCGCCUUUGGAGCGGCCCGCGUCUGAUUAGCUUGUUGGUGAGGUAAUGGCUCACCAAGGCUACGAUCAGUAGCUGGUCUGAGAGGAUGGCCAGCCACACUGGGACUGAGACACGGCCCAGACUCCUACGGGAGGCAGCAGUGGGGAAUCUUGCGCAAUGGGCGAAAGCCUGACGCAGCCAUGCCGCGUGGAUGAUGAAGGUCUUAGGAUUGUAAAAUCCUUUCACCGGGGACGAUAAUGACGGUACCCGGAGAAGAAGCCCCGGCUAACUUCGUGCCAGCAGCCGCCGUAA